CAGCUUAUCAGAAAGUUAGCCACUUUUAUUCUGACGAUCCAGUGCUUCUGUUGGGCUUAAUAAUUCAAGAUGAUGAACCUGUGGGCCUUUAUGUUGCUGGGUUUCUUGGCUCAGGCAUCUAACGGAUGUGUUCAA